GACGAACGCUGGCGGCGUGCUUAACACAUGCAAGUCGAACGGAAAGGCCCUGCUUUUGUGGGGUGCUCGAGUGGCGAACGGGUGAGUAACACGUUAGUAACCUUCCCUUUACUUUGGGAUAACUUCAGGAAACUGGGGCUAAUACCGGAUAGGAGCUCCUGCUGCAUGGUGGGGGUUGGAAAGUUUCGGCGGUUGGGGAUGGACUCGCGGCUUAUCAGCUUGUUGGUGGGGUAGUGGCUUACCAAGGCUUUGACGGGUAGCCGGCCUGAGAGGGUGACCGGCCACAUGGGGACUGAGAUACGGCCCAGAAUCGUAGGGGAGGCAGCAGUGGGGAGUAUGGCACAGUGGGCGGAAGCCAGAGGCAGCAACGCCGCGUGCGGGAUGACGGCCUUCGGGUUAUAAACCGCUAACGCCUGUGACGAAGCGUGAGUGACGGUAAUGGGUAAAGAAGCAACGGCUAACUACGUG
rnacentral:rRNA from 1 species